rnacentral:tRNA from 1 species
AGAUCUGUGCCCGAGUAUCUAAGGACCACUUUGAUAGAGUGUUUUAUGGGGGUUAAAGUCCCCCCGGAUCUU